GGUUAAGCGACUAAGCGUACACGGUGGAUGCCCUGGCAGUCAGAGGCGAUGAAGGACGUGCUAAUCUGCGAAAAGCGCCGGCGAGGUGAUAUGAACCUUUGACCCGGCGAUGUCCGAAUGGGGAAACCCAGUGUGAUUCGUCACACUAUCGUUAACUGAAUACAUAGGUUAACGAGGCGAACCGGGGGAACUGAAACAUCUAAGUACCCCGAGGAAAAGAAAUCAACCGAGAUUCCCCCAGUAGCGGCGAGCGAACGGGGAGCAGCCCAGAGUCUGAAUCAGCUUGUGUGUUAGUGGAAGCGUCUGGAAAGUCGCACGGUACAGGGUGACAGUCCCGUACACGAAAAUGCACAGGUUGUGAACUCGAAGAGUAGGGCGGGACACGUGGUAUCCUGUCUGAAUAUGGGGGGACCAUCCUCCAAGGCUAAAUACUCCUGACUGACCGAUAGUGAACCAGUACCGUGAGGGAAAGGCGAAAAGAACCCCGGCGAGGGGAGUGAAAAAGAACCUGAAACCGUGUACGUACAAGCAGUGGGAGCACCUUCGUGGUGUGACUGCGUACCUUUUGUAUAAUGGGUCAGCGACUUAUAUUCUGUAGCAAGGUUAACCGUAUAGGGGAGCCGAAGGGAAACCGAGUCUUAACUGGGCGUUAAGUUGCAGGGUAUAGACCCGAAACCCGGUGAUCUAGCCAUGGGCAGGUUGAAGGUUGGGUAACACUAACUGGAGGACCGAACCGACUAAUGUUGAAAAAUUAGCGGAUGACUUGUGGCUGGGGGUGAAAGGCCAAUCAAACCGGGAGAUAGCUGGUUCUCCCCGAAAGCUAUUUAGGUAGCGCCUCGUGAACUCAUCUUCGGGGGUAGAGCACUGUUUCGGCUAGGGGGCCAUCCCGGCUUACCAACCCGAUGCAAACUACGAAUACCGAAGAAUGUUAUCACGGGAGACACACGGCGGGUGCUAACGUCCGUCGUGAAGAGGGAAACAACCCAGACCGCCAGCUAAGGUCCCAAAGUCAUGGUUAAGUGGGAAACGAUGUGGGAAGGCACAGACAGCCAGGAUGUUGGCUUAGAAGCAGCCAUCAUUUAAAGAAAGCGUAAUAGCUCACUGGUCGAGUCGGCCUGCGCGGAAGAUGUAACGGGGCUAAACCAUGCACCGAAGCUGCGGCAGCGACACUAUGUGUUGUUGGGUAGGGGAGCGUUCUGUAAGCCGUUGAAGGUGGCCUGUGAGGGUUGCUGGAGGUAUCAGAAGUGCGAAUGCUGACAUAAGUAACGAUAAAGCGGGUGAAAAGCCCGCUCGCCGGAAGACCAAGGGUUCCUGUCCAACGUUAAUCGGGGCAGGGUGAGUCGACCCCUAAGGCGAGGCCGAAAGGCGUAGUCGAUGGGAAACAGGUUAAUAUUCCUGUACUUGGUGUUACUGCGAAGGGGGGACGGAGAAGGCUAUGUUAGCCGGGCGACGGUUGUCCCGGUUUAAGCAUGUAGGCGGAACGAUUAGGUAAAUCCGGUCGUUUAUUAACGCUGAGGUGUGAUGACGAGGCACUACGGUGCUGAAGUAACAAAUGCCCUGCUUCCAGGAAAAGCCUCUAAGCAUCAGGUAACAUCAAAUCGUACCCCAAACCGACACAGGUGGUCAGGUAGAGAAUACCAAGGCGCUUGAGAGAACUCGGGUGAAGGAACUAGGCAAAAUGGUGCCGUAACUUCGGGAGAAGGCACGCUGAUAUGUAGGUGAAGCCCCUGCGGGUGGAGCUGAAAUCAGUCGAAGAUACCAGCUGGCUGCAACUGUUUAUUAAAAACACAGCACUGUGCAAACACGAAAGUGGACGUAUACGGUGUGACGCCUGCCCGGUGCCGGAAGGUUAAUUGAUGGGGUUAGCGGCAACGCGAAGCUCUUGAUCGAAGCCCCGGUAAACGGCGGCCGUAACUAUAACGGUCCUAAGGUAGCGAAAUUCCUUGUCGGGUAAGUUCCGACCUGCACGAAUGGCGUAAUGAUGGCCAGGCUGUCUCCACCCGAGACUCAGUGAAAUUGAACUCGCUGUGAAGAUGCAGUGUACCCGCGGCAAGACGGAAAGACCCCGUGAACCUUUACUAUAGCUUGACACUGAACACUGGUCCUUGAUGUGUAGGAUAGGUGGGAGGCUUUGAAGUGUGGACGCCAGUCUGCAUGGAGCCGUCCUUGAAAUACCACCCUUUAAUGGCUGGUGUUCUAACGUAGACCCGUGAUCCGGGUUGCGGACAGUGUCUGGUGGGUAGUUUGACUGGGGCGGUCUCCUCCCAAAGAGUAACGGAGGAGCACGAAGGUUAGCUAAUCCUGGUCGGACAUCAGGAGGUUAGUGCAAUGGCAUAAGCUAGCUUGACUGCGAGAGUGACGGCUCGAGCAGGUGCGAAAGCAGGUCAUAGUGAUCCGGUGGUUCUGAAUGGAAGGGCCAUCGCUCAACGGAUAAAAGGUACUCCGGGGAUAACAGGCUGAUACCGCCCAAGAGUUCAUAUCGACGGCGGUGUUUGGCACCUCGAUGUCGGCUCAUCACAUCCUGGGGCUGAAGUAGGUCCCAAGGGUAUGGCUGUUCGCCAUUUAAAGUGGUACGCGAGCUGGGUUUAGAACGUCGUGAGACAGUUCGGUCCCUAUCUGCCGUGGGCGCUGGAGAAUUGAGGGGGGCUGCUCCUAGUACGAGAGGACCGGAGUGGACGCAUCACUGGUGUUCGGGUUGUCAUGCCAAUGGCACUGCCCGGUAGCUAAAUGCGGAAAAGAUAAGUGCUGAAAGCAUCUAAGCACGAAACUUGCCCCGAGAUGAGUUCUCCCUGAGACUUUAAGUCUCCUGAAGGAACGUUGAAGACGACGACGUUGAUAGGUCGGGUGUGUAAGCGCAGCGAUGCGUUGAGCUAACCGAUACUAAUGAACCGUGAGGCUUAACCUU
rnacentral:rRNA from 1 species